UUUUAUUCGGAAAAAUAGUUUAUUUCAAAAGUGUAGUGCCUGAAUACAUCCAGCAGAAAGAAAUUUGUCUUCUGGAGAGGAGGAGCUUACGAAGUAUCCUGAAAGAAGUCAAUAUGCUGCAAAUCCGGGGUUACAUCGAUCAAGACAGCGACAGCCAUUGGAAAGCCGUAUAUUCAACGUGCCUGGAUACCUGUUCGAUUUCUUCAGUUCGCCGCGUUAGAAAAGGAACAUUGUCAACGGAGGAUUAAAAGGUACGAUUCGUUUAAAAUUCAUAUUAAUCAGAGAUACCAGAAUGCUUAUUCCGGCGGAGCCUCGGUGUUCAACGAUGAAAAAUGAAAUAAAAGAAAAGGAGAGAAGAGGCAUUCGGGUAUCCUCGAAUAAUA